UGUCCCAGACUAAACACAAGUCUGCGCAGCUGCCCUGUUUCGCCACACUUCAGAGUCCACCCUUCCCCUGUUGUUUAUUCUGGUCCGAACUUAAUUCCAGUAUGCAAUACCUUAAUUACUUAGAGGUCAUUCACUAAUUGUGGAAGUCCCGUAGAAAAAAGGAAAAAAAAAAGAAUCACCGACCACGAAUGUGCACGCAUCAUACCAUCAAUCGCUACAUCCCAUUACCAAUCGCAAAAACCCAGCACCGAUUACAAAGUUGAUCGGCGGCAGUGAAGCACCAUCACCGAUCGCGAUAGUCCACCAACGAUCCCGAAAGUCCGUCACCGAUCGCAAAAAACCAUCACCGAUUACAGGGUUGAUCACCGGCAGUGAAACAUCAUCACCGAUAGCGAAACUCCACCAACGAUCUCAGAUACCCAUCACCGCUUUCGAAAAUGCAUCAACGAUGGAACACAUUAACGCUUGUGAAUAUGCAUGUAGCCGACGGUGAUCACCGAUCGUGAAUAUGCAUCACCGAUUGCUAAAGCGCAUCCCUGGUUCGGUAUUCGCAUUAAAUGCCUUUUUGGCGUUCCAUAUGACUGCAGCUUAUGGGAGUCGUUGGUGUAAAUUGGCAUGCUAACAAAACCAUGAGGGAAGCAAACGGCAUUUUAUCAUCACUUCAUGGAUGCAACGUAUAACGUGGGGUCAUGUUGCGCCAUACAUGAAUUAUUCAUAAUGCCGUCACCAAGACCAUGCAAAGACAACUAGACCGACGUCAAUCGAUGGUAGGGCCAGGCCACCUGCAGAGAACUUAUCACGUAACACUCGAACUUAAAAAUGUGUGGCUAUCAUAAGCGAUCGAGGGCGCUGUUCUAAGCGUGCAAAGGGCGAGGUGUUUCACCAGGCUCGUACGUGUGCAUGUUCAUGUGACAAGUGAAAUAAUAUGUACACUUGUACAUGUACCUGUACCGGUUGUAUGGUUGUAUUAAGCAGGUGCCGCGCACACUCAAAUGAAACUGUACUCGCCCAGGUCUAAUUAAAUUAAAGUGGAUUCAACACUAAACUCCUGUCCUUGUACCCAUUGACUUCUUAACACUCUUCGCAACGUCUUUGGAGUCAUGACCGAGCCUCGUGGUAAAGUGGGCGGUGCCCUGAUCACCAUCUGUCUGGUCUGGAACCUAGUCUCGGCCAUCACCAUCGUCUUCCUCAACAAGUGGAUCUACACCCACUAUGGCUUCCCUAACCUCAGUCUGACCUGCAUCCACUUCAUAACCACCUCUGUGGGGCUCUGGGUCUGCCGGAAGUGCAACGUCUUCCACCCCAAGAGCCUGCCCUUCCGCAGCAUGCUGCCACUCAGCCUGACCUUCUGUGGCUUUGUGGUCUUCACCAAUUUGUCGCUGCAGAGCAACACGGUGGGAACGUACCAGCUUGCCAAGUCCAUGACCACGCCCUGCAUCCUGGUCAUCCAGACCGUCUUCUACAACAAGUCCUUCUCCACUAAGAUCAAAAUGACACUAAUUCCUAUUACUUUGGGUGUUAUUACCAACUCCUAUUAUGACGUCAAGUUUAAUGUCUUAGGAACCAUCUAUGCAGUGGUGGGGGUUUUGGUAACUUCGCUUUACCAAGUGUGGGUUGGCGCAAAGCAGAGUGAGUUUCAAGUCAACUCUAUGCAGCUCUUGUACUACCAGGCCCCGCUCUCCGCCUGCAUCCUAGCACUCGUUGUUCCUUUCUUUGAGCCCGUCGUCGGUGAACACGGUGUGCUCAGCUCAUGGGAUGCCUAUGCAGUCUUUUUUGUGCUAGCCUCAGGUUGCACUGCCUUCUCAGUAAAUCUGUCGAUAUACUGGAUUAUUGGCAACACAUCACCGGUCACCUAUAACAUGGUUGGCCAUCUAAAAUUCUGCCUGACGUUGCUUGGAGGCUUUCUGCUGUUUGGGGACUACCUACGCUUCAAUCAACUGCUGGGCGUUUCCAUGACGCUGAGCGGCCUUGUUGCCUACACCCACUUUAAGGUCAAGGAGCAGGAGGAGUUGGACAAGAAGCUCAAAACCUACUGUCAAAUUUAGCUGAAUCGUUCAAGGAUAUCACAUGCCGGACUUCCACAAGUUUAGCGAAAUUGUUUCUUGUAACAUCGCUGUCAAUAUCGGUGAUUCUUUGAGGUUCAUCCACCGUCUGUGCCCAUCAUUACAUCUUUGUGACCAACCCCCGUAGCUGAUUAGUACUAUCACCGAGACAUCACUGUCUUCCACCAAUAGAACUGGACUUAACCAUUAUAAUUUUGGGGGGACUCCUUAAUUAAACAGCAUUUCAUCCUUUUUCAAACAAAUUUAGUUCACACUAUUAGGUAAUAAUUGUAUGCAAUUCUGUUAUUUAUCACCAACAGUUUGAAUUUGCAUUGGUGCUUUUUUAAACAGCAUUUAAGUAAUUAAAAAUCACAGAUUUAAAACAGCAUGAAGCAUGCAGAAUGGAGGCUGAUUCAACAACCUUGGGGCUCAUACCUGGCUGAAUAUCAAGUUACUUUCAAUCGUAUGAUUGUAUGUGGUAUCACACAGCAAGACAAGUUGAGCUUGCCUCCCAUAUUGGGAAAGCAUGGUAAAAAGCUAGAUCAUUUUUGAAACUCGGGUAAGUCCCUGGCUGCAGCUUCAUCAUUUCAGGUCAUUGUCUUUGGAGACUUGGGCUCCAUAUAUGUAUAUACCAUAGUUAAACAUCAAAUCCGGGUACAGAAAGCCAGUUUGGAUUCUUAUCAUUAAGUUUUGAACAGUUAAUUAUAGAGCAGAGGCAUUAAACGGAGGCCAGUGAUGAAACCAAUGUCUAAGAAAUGGACAUUAGACUUGACUCAAGUCACAACUUGGGCUUACCUUGGAUAUUUACAUGCAUGGCAACUCAUUUAGAUGGCCUGCUCCCUAUUGCAUGCUGUUAACCAGUCAGUUGAGUCUGAUUUUAAACUUCAUGUGCUUGAACUCAUUUUGUAGACUGCUGCACUGCUUUUGUCUUUUAGUUUCUGUGUAUUCCUUUAAGUAUUUCAAAUUGUUAUGAGGCAUUUAGGGAAGAAGUAAAAAUUGACCAGAGCAUCGUUUUUAGAAAGCCUUUCAAGUUGUAAUUGUUUUUACCAUUACACCUUUCACGUAGAACGAAACUUGGUGAUGAUUGGGAGCACAUUUUAAUGUGGAGUUGUUAAAUUAAUAUAGGCCACGACGUUCAAGGCAAAUACCUGUUUUGUUUGACAGCAUUAAAACAUAUGCAAUAAUGUGGCACAACUUUUAGCUUUUGUGAAUUAGAAGCAGAAUUUUUUUUUUUUUUAGCCAACUUAACAGUCCAGUGCAAUGAUAACUUCCCAGAGUUUUUUUUAUUCCUGCUGCAAUAUGAGUACUCAAAGCAAAUUAUGCUUGCUCAAAUUACCAAGCCAAAUUGUGUGUCUAGUCAGAGAGACUGAGGAUUCCAACUCCUCCCCCCUUUCCGAACAUUUUUCAAGUGUUUGCCAUGCCAGGAGGACUUAGGUUCACACAUGCAGUUAUGCUUUUAAAUUUAAAAACAAAGCAUGAGGUCCUGUAUCAAGACCAACUACCUACAUUCAGCAUUUGUGCUUAACUGAAAUAAGUCAAUUUGUUGUAUUUCUUUAAUCGUAACUGUUGGAAGAAUCGUUUUAAAUGGUGCUUUACAUGUUUGCAUCCCGGGGACUAAGAGUUGGGGGACUGGGAAACAUGCUCCACCUCCUUGCCUGACCGUUUAGCCGACCUAUUCAACCCACUUUUGAGAAGUGAUGUGUGCCUCGUAAAUGAGGGAACAUCAAGUAAGUCAGGUUCAGACCCAUCCAUGGAAGUUGCAAGUUAUGGCUAAGAAAAAUUUGUGAGUGGUUAUAGUGGAUAUGGAUUAUGUAACAUUGUAAUUUGGUUGAGGAUCAGGAGAUGGGUAUAGUUUUUUGCUUUCAGCACUACCUCUGUCGUUGGACAUCAUAGUGCUAAUUUUUUUUGGGAAAGGAACUUCAUGGUGGAAAUUAUAUCCUGUGAGUUCUUGGAGUGGCUAAAAACCAGCUAGUCUUUGGCAAUUCAGGUCUGUCAGGUAAAGUAAAUGAUAUUAUCGGGUAUUGAUAAAUUAUUUUGUAAUUAUUGGAAUUGCCUUAGAAUGGCAGCUUUUUGGUGUGUUUUUUCCUCACUGGAGUAUCCAUCACAAUAAAGCUAAAUUUUAAAAUGUU
rnacentral:misc_RNA from 1 species